CAAAAGAAAAUGUUAGCGAAUGUUAGAAAUACGCAACUCAGAGGUUUUAUGACUGAAACUCUAAUUAAAUAUGUGAUUGAAUAUUGAAUUUCCAAUGGUGAAGCUGCAUUUUUUCCGCCUACGACCCAGCACGCGGGAUAAUCCAUAGGAGAUUUAUUGAUUUAUUCAAGGUUUGCGGCCGAAUUACUUUUAUUUAACUGUCGCCCUUUUUAUUUUUUUUUCUUUUUUCCCAUCCUAUUUAGGCUUAAUUAGGGAGGACUGAGUCGACUUAACAAAAAACUUAAGUCCGCGCCGCAUAUAAAGUCUCAACUUAAGUUGAGUCUAAGUCCGCCAGGGUGUAGAGCAAGCAUUUUUUUAUUGUCCGUCGGUGCGGUCGGUGCAUGGACCUGUCGGUGAAGUUAGCUUCUUGGAAGUUAGUUCGCUCUGGUACUCUGGUUUUUAGCUCCAAAUAAACGUGGAACAAGGUCUACGUACAGCGGAGAGGAGUUUCCGAUUUUGUGACAUGUGGGCGGAGCUUUGAAAAGCUUAACAGCACAUUAAAUUUUGUAUCUAUUCUCGUGUUUACAUUCCAAGUUCCCGCUUCCCUGCGCUUCCCGCUUCCCACGACAGGUGUCCGCGAAACUAAAAAUGUGGGCGUGGCCGUUGUUUUUGUUAAUUGUCUUCGAUUUGAGAUUUGAUUCAAGAAGUAUAAAAUUUUAUACUUCUUGAUUUGAUUUGAAGAAACAAGCACGUGUGUUGCUGUUGCGUCUCAUGUCGCCGCCGGGAUUAACUCCGCAGAGAGAUUAAAAUCUUCCGUUCAAAAUGUUUGGUCUCGCUCAUGGCAUCUCGCUGAGGCGCUUAUGUCACUUCUGAAGCAGUUUUCCAGGUGGUCCAGAUCCAGCCUGCUCGCUCGCUGGCCAGCCAGUGCGUUCAGGCACCAUCGACCAUAAUGUGACACCCUUCUUCGGCCAAGCAAGUUUGCAAAUGAGAGCCAACAAACAUCACCGGCCUGUUGUUAGCCUUGUGAAUCACUUAAAGGUUAUGACCCUUGUGCAGCAUUCUCAUCGUGAUGAUUAUUUGCUAAUUCUGCCCUGACCUGAUGUGACCAUUAUGUGAAGAAAAUGCAGCAAAUCCACAUCUCACUGGUCGUCUACCUACGGAGAAAUCACAAACUCUUAUUCAAGCCGCUUGCAACACCACGACUGCCAUCAUUGUCAAGUUUGCAUCCAGUGUAUUCCUGGUGAAUCAUUCUCUCUGCAAGAGCACUACAUUGAAAUGCUCGCUGCGAUGCUGCGCCGAACAACAAAAUCAACUGCAGGAUCUGGUCACCAUGAACAAGGAAAACAUCUCCGAGUGUGGGAAAACGUCUGCCCUCCUCAGCAUUGCACUCUCGGAGCUUGAGAAUCAAACAAAUCUCUCGAUGAAGAGACCUUCCAGGUAAAUGACACUCUUGGACCCAAUCAAACCAAAACCAGCCUCAGCACACCUUUUGACUUAAUUAAAUUGAAGCAGCAUGAGAGAGAUCUGUCCGACUCCAGACCACUGUCCAACUCGGCGUACAGCUAUGAAGACCAACUGUCAGUCAGACUUCUCGGGACACCAAAUUCUCAUCAAGGGCGCAAUAGAGUAAAUAAAUAGCCACGGAAAAUGGACAAAAUUUAAUUUUCGUAAAAAAAACAUAAAUUUUAAAUUUUUUUUUGUCAAUAAUGCAUCUUUUUAACAUUGUAAUGUAACUUUUUAAUUCAUUAUUUUUACCUAUUAAAGAUAAAUUUUUUUCGUGCAAAAAUAAAACGUGGUCAAAAAAUCUAA